UACAGAGACCUCAAGCGUUAUCCGGAAUCAUUGGGCGUAAAGCGUUCCGAUAGGUUGUUUUGAAAGUCUUGGGUAAAAGCCAGAAGCUUAACUUCUGCGUUUGCUUAAGAUACUGCAAAACUAGAGGGGCAAAGAGGAGCUUGGAACGAAUGGUGUAGUAGUGAAAUGCGUGGAUAUCGAAAGGAACACCAGUGGCGAAAGCGAGUCUCUGGACGACUCCUGACACUGAGGCACGAAAGCUAGGGGAGCAAACAGG
rnacentral:rRNA from 1 species